GACGAACCGUGCGAACGUUAUUCGGAAUCAUUGGGCUUAAAGGGUGCGUAGGCGGGCUCGUGAGUCAGGGGUGAAAUCCCACGGCCCAACCGUGGAAGUGCCUCUGAUACCGCGGGCCUCGAGGGGGAUAGGGGCGUGCGGAACUUCCGGUGGAGCGGUGAAAUGCGUAGAUAUACGGAAGGAACACCGGUGGCGAAGGCAGCUCGCUGGGACGGUACUGACGCUGAGGAGCGAAAGCGUGGGGAGCGAACAGG
rnacentral:rRNA from 1 species